rnacentral:rRNA from 1 species
CAAACCACUCUUCGCAACGGAUAUUUCGGCUCCUGCAUCGGUGAAGAACGUAGGCGAAUGCGAUACUUGGGGGGGAUUGGCAGAUCCCGUGAACCAUCGGGUCUUUGAACGCAAGUUGCGCCCGAAGCCAUUAGGGCGAGGGCACGUCUUCCUGGGGCUCACGC